GACAUGACAGUGUGCUGACGACGUGAAGGUGAUAGGAGGGAUCACUGACGAGGAAGAGGUCAGAGGGAGACAUGACAGUGUGCUGACGACGUGAAGGUGGUAGGAGGGAUCACUGACGAGGAAGAGGUCAGAGGGAUCACUGAUGAGGAAGAGGCCAGAGGGAGACAUGGCAGUGUGCUGACGACGUGAAGGUGAUAGGAGGGAUCACUGAUGAGGAAGAGGUCAGAGGGAGACAUGACAGUGUGCUGACGACGUGAAGGUGAUAGGAGGGAUCACUGAUGAGGAAGAGGUCAGAGGGAUCACUGACGAGGAAGAGGUCAGAGGGAGACAUGACAGUGUGCUGACGACGUGAAGGUGAUAGGAGGGAUCACUGAUGAGGAAGAGGUCAGAGGGAGACAUGGCAGUGUGCUGACGACGUGAAGGUGAUAGGAGGGAUCACUGACGAGGAAGAGGUCAGAGGGAGACAUGACAGUGUGCUGACGACGUGAAGGUGAUAGGAGGGAUCACUGACGAGGAAGAGGUCAGAGGGAGACAUGACAGUGUGCUGACGACGUGAAGGUGAUAGGAGGGAUCACUGACGAGGAAGAGGUCAGAGGGAGACAUGGCAGUGUGCUGACGACGUGAAGGUGGUAGGAGGGAUCACUGACGAGGAAGAGGUCAGAGGGAUCACUGACGAGGAAGAGGUCAGAGGGAUCACUGACGAGGAAGAGGUCAGAGGGAGACAUGACAGUGUGCUGACGACGUGAAGGUGAUAGGAGGGAUCACUGACGAGGAAGAGGUCAGAGGGAGACAUGACAGUGUGCUGACGACGUGAAGGUGAUAGGAGGGAUCACUGACGAGGAAGAGGUCAGAGGGAGACAUGGCAGUGUGCUGACGACGUGAAGGUGGUAGGAGGGAUCACUGAUGAGGAAGAGGUCAGAGGGAUCACUGACGAGGAAGAGGCCAGAGGGAGA